rnacentral:rRNA from 1 species
UACGAAGGGGGCUAGCGUUGCUCGGAAUCACUGGGCGUAAAGGGCGCGUAGGCCGCCAAGUAAGUUGGGGGUGAAAGCCCGUGGCUCAACCACGGAAUUGCCUUCGAUACUGCUUGGCUUGAGACCGGAAGAGGUGAGUGGAACUGCGAGUGUAGAGGUGAAAUUCGUAGAUAUUCGCAAGAACACCAGUGGCGAAGGCGGCUCACUGGUCCGGAUCUGACGCUGAGGCGCGAAAGCGUGGGGAGCAAACAGG